rnacentral:rRNA from 1 species
ACAGACAUACCACCCUGAAUACUCCCUAUCUUGUCUGAUCUUGGAAGCUAAGCAGGGUUGGGCCUGUUACUACUUGGAUGGGACAAACUCUAUU